AGUGAACGCUGGCGGUAGGCCUAACACAUGCAAGUCGAACGGCAGCACAGUAAGAGCUUGCUCUUACGGGUGGCGAGUGGCGGACGGGUGAGGAAUACAUCGGAAUCUACUUUUUCGUGGGGGAUAACGUAGGGAAACUUACGCUAAUACCGCAUACGACCUACGGGUGAAAGCAUGGGAUCUUCGGACCUUUCGCGAUUGAAUGAGCCGAUGUCGGAUUAGCUAGUUGGCGGGGUAAAGGCCCACCAAGGCGACGAUCCGUAGCUGGUCUGAGAGGAUGUUCAGCCACACUGGAACUGAGACACGGAACAGACUCCUACGGGAGGAAGCAGUGGGGAAUAUUGGACAAUGGGCGCAAGCAUGAUACAGCCAUACCGCGUGGGUGAAGAAGGCCUUCGGGUUGUAAAGCCCUUUUGUUGGGAAAGAAAAGCAGCAGGUUAAUACCCCGCUGUUCUGACGGUACCCAAAGAAUAAGCACCGGCUAACUUCGUG
rnacentral:rRNA from 1 species